GUGAUGGUGGUGGUGGUAGUGGUGGUGGUUAAGACGGUGAUAAUAGUUGUUAGUGGUGACGACGCGCAGCUGAUACUAACAAUGGUUCGUCACGAGUGUAGAUAACCAGCGGCGGUGAGGCAAUCCAGUCCGUCUCUGUGUAAGGGCAGGAAAUGAACAGGCGUGGGAGUGGAUGGGAAUCUAUAUUGUGUGUGUGUGUGUGUGUGUGUGUGUGUGUGUGUGUGGAGAUAAUGACCAUAUUCUCCAACACUUGAAGUUACACUGGUUUUUAAGGGUGUUUUUAUGGUUCUAGUGACAGAUUAACAAUACAUCUAUAUUAUUAAAAUGAGAAACAGUUCUGAGAACCCGACUAAUUAUCUCUGUGGCCUUUAAAAAUAGUUGUGAUAAGAGAGCAAAGCUGAUCAGAAUACUGGCGUGAGUCUUGUGGUGUGGUGGGGAUGUUGGCAUCAACACUAACGCCCUCUACGGGGAACUGUGAGUUCUCUGAGGAGAGCAAGAGCUUAGGACAACGACGCCUUCACUACUAGCUGCUGGGCCCUCUGGGGGAUGGCAGCGCCCACCACACAGUUUACAGCCGUGGUGAGUCUGCUGCAUCUCAACACUCUUGCAUUAUAAGACAAGAGAGCAUCAGAAAGCAAGGGAAGAUGCAGGACUCCAUCAGGCCUACACGUGGGAUUUCCUGAAUAAAACAUGCUUGCCUA